AAGGGAGACCUAAUUCCGGUAGGAGACGAAAAAAAAGUAGUCCCUACCAAGAAUCAAUCCCAAAAGGUCGAAGCGAGGCAAGAUUGGCUUUCAAACUAGGUUCUGGGUUCAAACAAGACCUGAAUCAGGAACAAGGGCUAUUAGCUCAGGUGGUUAGAGCGCACCCCUGAUAAGGGUGAGGUCCCUGGUUCGAGCCCAGGAUGGCCCACCUGCACAGGUGGCAAAAACAAAGAAGCGAGGAAUCAGCACCUUAUCUUACUCAUAUAGUAAGAGAGAAUGCUGGCUCUGAGUAAAGAGUCCAGAGGAACCUUGAAAACUGCAUAGGGCUAGGUGAAAAAGCCAAAAAAGAAGACCGCAA
rnacentral:tRNA from 1 species